rnacentral:rRNA from 1 species
AGAACGAACGCUGGCGGCAGGCUUAACACAUGCAAGUCGAACGGGCGUGAGCAAUCACGCCAGUGGCAGACGGGUGAGUAACGCGUGGGAACAUACCCUCCGGUUCGGAAUAGCUCAGGGAAACUUGGAUUAAUACCGGAUACGGCCGUGAGGCGAAAGAUUUAUCGCCGGAGGAUUGGCCCGCGUUCGAUUAGCUUGUUGGUGAGGUAACGGCUCACCAAGGCGAUGAUCGAUAGCUGGUCUGAGAGGAUGAUCAGCCACAUUGGGACUGAGACACGGCCCAAACUCCUACGGGAGGCAGCAGUGGGGAAUAUUGGACAAUGGGCGCAAGCCUGAUCCAGCCAUGCCGCGUGAGUGAUGAAGGCCUUAGGGUUGUAAAGCUCUUUCGCUCGGGACGAUAAUGACGGUACCGAGAUAAGAAGCCCCGGCUAACUUCGUGCCAGCAGCCG